UGGAAACAAACAGGAAGUGGACAUACUAUACAUGCAGUAGAAACAGGUUGGUGUGGCCACAGAGGACUACAGUUUCCCGUAGUAAAAGCACACCUGCUAUAAAAUGAAACCCUUCAGAUAUCUGGGGGACAAUCAGCAGGAGUGCAACACAGGACCUUUGGGAUGGAUGGAAAAGUCAUCUGAUGUCUGUCCAUGAAGAACUCUUCAGGUAGCAGUGGUCCUCUACUGUGCAGCGCCUGGAGAGCAUUCUGGGGUAAAGGGACCCGUAGUGGCAGUCUGCGGGCAUUGAACCAGGAACCCUGCAGCCUCUCCAGGACACAAACGGCCUUCUCUCUAACCCCUAGGCCACCACUCCCCAAAAGCCUUUCCUUGUAGAGAUUGAACGCUGCUCUCCCACAUGGGAGGUAAGCACCCUAAUCACUCAGCUCUAGAGUGAGCUAGACUGUAAGAUACACAUUUAAGGAAGUUAGCUCACCUUUACAGCGGCACCUUUACUUUUUAAUUGACCAAUGAGAUGUUUAACUCUUGAAGCAUGAAGUUAACUUGAUUUAUUUACAUUUGUCAUUUUUAACCAAUAACAUAUGAAUAAGUCAAAAAUGAACAGAAGUAAUUGCAAUAUAUUUUACUGGUUCUUUAAUCAUGUUUUGGGUAGAAAAUAUCCCUGCUGCUAAAGAACUGCAGCAUCAGUGGUUUAUUUAGUCAGGUUGAAGCUGGAUUUUCCUGUUAAUUUGUCACAUUGUCUUCUUGGCUAAAAGCUUUUCAGCGCGUUUACCAGCAGGUGGCAGCACCAGACCUGUUUCUCUGAACAAAGAAGCAGGAAGUAGUUGUGCUACAACUAAGUAAAACAAGGAUAUUAUUGUUUUGUAUUCAGUCUGAUGUGUUUAAAAUGCUUGUAAAUAAGAUAUUGAUUAAUACUCUGCAUAUUUGAUUUUUGCUGGGAUGGUUGCUGUUUUGUAGGAGGUUAAAAAUAGAGGAAAUAUGUUCUUGGUCUGUUAGCUUUAGCUUGUCUUCU